GAGUCUCGAUCUGUGAUCCAGGCUGGAGUUCAGUGGUGUGAUCAUAGCUCACUGCAGCCUCGAACUCCGGGCUCAAGUGAGCCUCCCACCUAAGCCUCUCAUGUAGCUGGAACCACAGGUUAUGCAACACCACACCCAGCUAAUUUUUAAAUUUUUUGUAGAUAUGGUUGCGGGUCUCACUAUAUUGUCCAGGCUUCGGCCUCCCAAAGCGCCGGGAUUACAGAACUGUGAGCUACCAUGCCUGGCCAGCUUUUGUGGUUUUUAAAAAGCCUUAUUUUAAAUUUUCUAUUUUGUUUUGUAUGGCAGGCACUCACUCCACGGCCACAGUGAUCUCUUGAAAUACUAGUCUGCCCAUGUUCCUACUUUCUCCUUAAUACCAAAAAUAAUCCAAGAUUCUCAGCAGGACUCUGGUGACUUUGCCUCUUUGUUCCUCUCUCCAUUUGCUGCCUCACACUUAUUUAAGUGCUUUCAUAGUCCCAGGGAAGCAAGCUCUGUGUAUGCAUUUCCUCCAGUUGUUUUCUGGGCCUGGAAUGCUAAUCUUAUUUUUCUUUGCCUGGUUAGUAAUUACUUCCUUUUGAAAACUCUGAUGUCAUCUGUCAGAAAACCUCCGUGGUCCUUCCUCUGAGCCCAGGUCCCUGGCCCUCAGCUCUGGGCAUGUCUCUACUUUUUAAAAUCCUCUCCUUUCCAUUUAAUAAACCACAUAACAUAAUUUUGUUUUUAUUUAUUUAUAUUUUUGAGACAGAGUCUCGUUCUCUCACCUAGGCUGAAGUGCAGUGGUGUGAUCUCAGCUCACUGAGAAAACCUCCACUUCCCAGGUUCAAGCGAUUCUCCUGAGUAGCUGGGAUUACAGGCGUGAGCCAUGGUGCCUGACUAAUUUUUUGUAUUUUUAGUAGAGAUGGGGUUUCACCAUGUUGGCCAGGCUGGUCUCGAACUCCUGACCUCAGGUGAUCCACCCACCUUGGCCUCCCAAAGUGCUAGGAUUACAGGCAUGAGCCACCACGCCUGGCCUAAUUUUGUUAUUUUGAUCUAUGAGUGUCCUCGUCCUGAGGGUACUAUUACUAUUUCAUCUUUGUAGCCUAGCAUGGCGCCCAUGAAAUGUGUUUGUGGCUGAAAGGAACCUAUCUUUGGUCACCAAUGACCCAACAAUUUUGGCCACAUAUGUUGGGCUCAGACUCCCUAAACUAUCAAAAUCAUGUGCUUAUAUUAUAAGUGCCUCCAGAACACAAAUCCCUUUCACAGGGCUUGAAAUGUAUCAAGUCACCAUUAAUCAUCUUAGGCCAAGGCUCUGAGUCUGGGCUACUCCAGAACCCGGAGGGGAGUUUUUUUUUUGUUUGUUUUUGUUUUUGUUUUUUGUUUUUUGAGACAAGGUCUUGCUCUGUCACCCAGGCCGAGUGAAGUGGUGUGAUAAAGGCUCACUGCAGCCUCGACCCCCAAGGCUCAAGUGAUCAUCCCAACUCAGUCUCCUGAGUAACUGGAACGGGCUUUUUUUCUUUUUCGUUCUUUUUUUUUUUUUUUGUAGAAGAGGGGUUUCGCUAUGUUACCCAGGCUGAUCUCUAGUUCUUGGGUUCAAGCGAUCCUCCCAACUCGGCCUCCCAAAGUGGUGGCAUUCCAGGGGUGAUGGCUUUUGGAUGCCUCCCAAAGUGAUGGCAUUCCAGGGGUGAUGGCUUUUGGAUGCCUCCCAAAGUGAUGGCUAUUCACGGCGCCCGGCCUGGGAAAUCUUAUUUCCAGGAAAUAUUCUCCAGUUGCGCUCUCCUGGAAAGCAGCACAAUGGGCCUCCCGGCUCCGUGGGCGCGCAGUCCCACCCGCCUGCCUCGCACCCCACCCGCGUACUCUCCACCCCACCCGUUCCCACCCUGUCUGGGUUUUCGGGUGUUCACCAUUGAGGUGGGAGCCACAUCUGCGCCCCGCGACCUGGCGAACCUCAUUGAACACUUCUGCCCGACCCCCGCAGCAGCAGCGCGACCGGAUGGCGUGGGUGUCACCACGCGGUGGCCACUCUCACUGCUGCGAAGCGCCGGCGGCGGGACCUCGGAGGGGGCGCCCUCGGGGUGCGAGGCCCGGCACUCCGGAAAUCCCCCGGGAGGGAGGGGUUGGGAGAAAUAAAUCCUUUUCUCCAGAGUUGCGCAAGAGCCAGCGCGGUAGGGCCAGAGUGGGAAGGCCAGAGCGGGCGUCCCCGCCAGUGACCCCACGCCGCCCGUCCGCGCCCAACCCGGCCUCCGCCGAGUGUCCGAACCAAAAGCGAAAGGAACCCGACCCCCGCGUCCCCUCCGGCGGCUCCGUAGUCGCGUCCGCUUGGAGCUCGCCCGGCGCCUCCGACCCUGCCGGGCCGCUUUGUGACUUCACUCGUUUCGCAACAAGCCCGGGCAGCCCGCGCCCCACCCACUCUGGCCCGGCAGCCUCGCCGCCCGCAGCCUCGCUCCGCUCCUCGCGCUUCCCCUCCCUCCGGGGCUGGGCCUGCCCCGGCCGUCGCGGAGCCUCCCCUCCCACCGUCCGUGAGUGUACGCGCCCGGCCGCCGCCUCCAGGCAGCCCGGAGCAACCCGGCGCCCGGCCCCGCUGGGCGCAGCACUCCGUCGGCGGCGGCGGCGGCGCGAUGCUGUGCUUCCUGAGGGGAAUGGCUUUCGUCCCCUUCCUCUUGGUGACCUGGUCGUCAGCCGCCUUCAUUAUCUCCUACGUGGUCGCCGUGCUCUCCGGGCACGUCAACCCCUUCCUCCCGUAUAUCAGUGAUACGGGAACAACACCUCCAGAGAGUGGUAUUUUUGGGUUUAUGAUAAACUUCUCUGCAUUUCUUGGUGCAGCCACGAUGUAUACAAGAUAUAAAAUAGUACAGAAGCAAAAUCAAACCUGCUAUUUCAGCACUCCUGUUUUUAACUUGGUGUCUUUAGUGCUUGGAUUGGUGGGAUGUUUCGGAAUGGGCAUUGUCGCCAAUUUUCAGGAGUUAGCUGUGCCAGUGGUUCAUGACGGGGGCGCUCUUUUGGCCUUUGUCUGUGGUGUCGUGUACACGCUCCUACAGUCCAUCAUCUCUUACAAAUCAUGUCCCCAGUGGAACAGUCUCUCGACAUGCCACAUACGGAUGGUCAUCUCUGCCGUUUCUUGCGCAGCUGUCAUCCCCACAUCUUUAAAUAGGCUGGGUGUGGUGACUCACACCUGUAAUCCCAGCACGUUGGGAGGCCGAGGCAGGUGGAUCACUUGAGGUCAGGAGUUCGAGACCAACCUGGCCAACAUGGUGAAACCUCAUCUCUACUAAAGUUACAAAAAUUAGCCAAGCGUGGUGGCGUAUGCCUUUAGUCCCCGCUACUUGGGAGGCUGAAGCAGGAGAAUCGCUUGAACCAGGAGUGGGAGGUUACAGUGAGCCAAGAUUGUGCCACUGCACUCCAGCCCAGGUGACAGAGUGAGACUCUGUCUCAAAAAAAAAGAGUUGAAAGCAUCUUUAAAAUGCCCUGGUUUCUUCUUACUGCAGUAUUUCUGUAUAAUAGCCUCAUUUGACUACCGAAGAAACCGAGGCACCUAGUGAGGCAGACGUUAGAAUCCUGCUUCUAAACCUUUCCUGAUGAAUUAUCUGUCUUGCACCGGGCUUCUAAAGCUUCUGAAAGCCUUCGCAGAACUCACCAACAGCAUAAAGUCCAGGUUCCUCUGCAUCAGACCCAUGAUCUGAGACCUCCUAGUUCUUCAUCCUUGUUUUUACGGCUUCUCCCUUAGGCUUGGUUGUUUGUUGUCCUCUGUUUUUAACUGAUCUCUACUUGGCUGGAUUAUCCUCCUCCACUUUGUCUUGCUAGAGCUGUUGGUUCAACAGGGUACCCACAUGUGGCUUUUGCAUACUUGAAAUGUGGCUAGUCCAGAUUGAGAUGUGUCCUAAAUGUAAAACAUAUACCUGAUUUCAAGGAUUUGAUAAGAAACAGAAGUAAAAUAUCUCAAUAAUUUUUUAUAUUAUUACACAUUGAAAUGAUAAUAUCAUCAGCAAUAUUAUUUGAUAUAUUGAGUUAAAUAAGAUGUAUGUUGUUUAUCAAUAUAUAAGAUAUGUUUUGCAUAUUAUGUAUAUCUUAUAUUGACAAUAUUUUUAUGUGUCGGGUUAGAUAAGAUAUAUUAUUAAAAUUAAGUUAGGGGUCAGGCACGCCUGUAAUCCCAGCAUUUUGGGAGGCCGAGGUGGGCAGAUCAUUUGAGGUCAGGAGUUCGAGACCAGCCUGGCUAACGUGGUGAAACCCCAUCUCUACUAAAAAUAGAAAAACUAGCCAGGCGUGGUGGUGGGCACCUGUAAUCCCAGCUGCUGAGGAGGCUGAGGCAGGAGAAUCGCUUGAACCCAGGAGGUGGAGGUUGCAGGUGAGCUGAGAUCACGCCACUGCACUCCAGCCUGAGUGACAGAGCGAGACUCCAUCUCAAAUACAUAAAUAAAUAAAUAAAUUUGGAUAUUAGAAAAUUAAAAAUUACACAUAUUUCUUUGGGAUGGUGCUGCUCUAGAGAGCUCCUUAAACUUCACAACUUACAUUAAGUUUCACUGAAUGAAGCUUUCUCCCAUUCCAUUCUGAAUUAAUAAUUUUCCCUUACAGUCAUUGCUGUACCCAGUUCUUUUCUGUCUACUAUGGUACGUUCUCUGGGUCUGGUCCAACAAAGUUGUGAUAUUUCUGAGAGCUGAGACCAAGUUUUCCCUUCUCCCACCCCCAGACCAGAAUGGUACCUGGUGCACUGAAGAUGGAGCUAAGAAUAAAUAAACGAAAGAAUUAAGAGGCUUUUAAACUAUUAGAAACAGAUGUGAGGUGAUGAAAUGAUCAGAGAAUCUUCUGUGCUCUCUACUUCUUUUAUUUUGAGAAUCAGAAGCAUUAAACUCUGCACAAUUUGCGGGGGGUUGGAGUUAAGAGAGAUGACGCUGACUCUGAAUUCAGAGGAGGCUCUAAACUUUCCUUGGCUCAACAUUUUUUUUUUUUUUUUUUUUGAGACAGAGUCUCACCCUGUUGCCCAGGUUGGAGUGCAGUGGUGCAAACUCAGCUCACUGCCACCUCCCAGGUUCAAGCGAUUCUCCUGCUUCAGCCUCCCAGGUAGCUGGGAUUACAGGUGCACGCCACCAUGCCCAGCUAAUUUUUGUGUUUUUAGUAGAGACUGGGUUUCACCAUGUUGGUCAGACUAGUCUCGAACUCCUGACCUCAGGUGAUUCGCCCGCCUCAGCCUCCAAAAGUGCUGGGAUUACAGGCGUGAGCCACUGCGCCCGGCCUAACAUUUUGAAUUUCUAAUAUUUUGCAGACUUUUUAGAGCAUCCCAUUUCUCUCUAGCUUUCUCUUUUGCAUUCUAAGUUCAAUCAAAAUGGUUAUCACUGCCUUCAUGCAGAAAGUAUUGCCGGUGGAAGAUAGGAGCCUCAGCCCCUGGCAUUAUUAGGCUGGACUGUAGGCAUGUGUCAGUCAUCCCUGAAGUCUGAUAUGGGGCAAAUCUCUUUGAUUUGCCAGAUCUUUGGUCCAGGAAGGAAAGGCUCACCUUAUACCCAAUUACCCAACAGAAGUCUGUUUUUUAAAGAUAAUAGUUUGAGUUUCUGUAGCUUGUUUUUGUAUAUGAGCCUUGGCACUUUGGAAUUUAAAAUUUUCCUUAAAGCUGUUAACUUGGAAAUAGUGUUUCAGGCCGGGCACGGUGGCUCAUGCCUGUAAUCCCAGCACUUUGGGAGGCCGAGGUGGGCAGAUCACCUGAGGUCAGGAGUUCAAGACCAGCCAGACCAACAUGGAGAAACACCGUCUCUACUAAAAAUACAAAAAAUUAGCCGGGCAUGGUGGUGGGUGCUUGUAAUCCCAACUAUUCAGGAGGCUGAGGCAGGAGAAUGCUUGAACCCAGGAGGUGGAGGUUGCAGUGAGCCGAGAUCGCGCCAUUGCACUCCAGCCUGGGUGACAGAGCGAGAGUACGUCUCAAAAAAAAAAAAAAAAAAAAAGGAAA